rnacentral:lncRNA from 10 species
GCUGAACUCAUAGGCUGUCGACCACAGCUGCUCAUAAGGUACUUUGUUCUUCAGCAUGGCCUGCAGAAGAGGGGUGCCAAAGUGUUUUCCUUUGCCCUUUUAUGGCAGAGAGCAGCAGCUCACAUCCCUGAGUCAUCCAUCGUGUAAAUAUCACAUAACUUCCAGAACCACGGAACCUACCACUGAGUUGGAUGAAAUGAUGGGGGAGAGAGGCAAUGCUUAUUAUUCUUCUGUUGUACAUGCAAUUAGGUGCUGCUAAGUGCCUUUUCACAUCAUUAAAUUCUUUUUGAAGCUCCAAAUACUAUACUCACAUAGAAAUCUCUGAUGAAAGCAGUUUUGAAUUCCUCCCAGAGGGCAACUGCAUAGGUCCCUGUUCAAAGGGAGAAGGAAGCUGAUAGUUUUGGGAUUCCUACCACGUGCUGUUUACCACCUAAGCACAAUCUCAGAUCAUCUCAUUUCAUCCUUCAGCACCAUGAGAGAGGGUCUGAUUCUAUCCCGUUCUCCAGAUGAGGGGCACAGAGUCUCAAAAAGAUGAGCCUUCUGUUUAUUUAUCUAACAAAAAAAGUGAUUUUGCCACCCAAGUUGUAAGUUUACUUAUAUAACAAACCUGCACAUGUACUCCUGAA